GACGAACGCUGGCGGCGUGCUUAACACAUGCAAGUCGAACGGAAAGGCCCAGCUUGCUGGGUGCUCGAGUGGCGAACGGGUGAGUAACACGUGGGUGAUCUGCCUCUAACUUCGGGAUAAGCUUGGGAAACUGGGUCUAAUACCGGAUAGGACAAUCGUUUAGUGUCGGUUGUGGAAAGUUUUUUCGGUUAGGGAUGAGCCCGCGGCCUAUCAGCUUGUUGGUGGGGCAAUGGCCUACCAAGGCGUCGACGGGUAGCCGGCCUGAGAGGGUGGACGGCCACAUUGGGACUGAGAUACGGCCCAGACUCCUACGGGAGGCAGCAGUGGGGAAUAUUGCACAAUGGGCGCAAGCCUGAUGCAGCGACGCCGCGUGGGGGAUGACGGCCUUCGGGUUGUAAACCUCUUUCGACAGGGACGAAGCUUUGGUGACGGUACCUGUAUAAGAAGCACCGGCUAACUACGUG
rnacentral:rRNA from 1 species